rnacentral:rRNA from 1 species
CAGUAGCCGCGGGAAAACGAAGGGGGCUAGCGUUGCUCGGAAUUACUGGGCGUAAAGGGAGCGUAGGCGGACAUUUAAGUCAGGGGUGAAAUCCCGGGGCUCAACCUCGGAAUUGCCUUUGAUACUGGGUGUCUUGAGUAUGAGAGAGGUAUGUGGAACUCCGAGUGUAGAGGUGAAAUUCGUAGAUAUUCGGAAGAACACCAGUGGCGAAGGCGACAUACUGGCUCAUUACUGACGCUGAGGCUCGAAAGCGUGGGGAGCAAACAGGAUUAGAUACCCCGGUAGUCCCUGUCUCUUAUAA